GACAGAGGCCACGAACGUUGUUCGGAAUCACUGGGCAUAAAGCGCACGUAGGCGGCUAGGUCCGUCCAAUGUGAAAGCCCCCGGCUCAACCGGGGAAUUGCAUCGGAUACAGCCUGGCUUGAGGACGGUUGGGGUGAGUGGAACUCCUGGUGGAGCGGUGAAAUGCGUAGAUAUCAGGAGGAACAUCAGUGGCGAAGGCGGCUUCCUGGACCAAUACUGACGAUCAGGUGCGAAAGCGUGGGGAGCAAACAGG
rnacentral:rRNA from 1 species